ensembl:miRNA mir153c microRNA 153c
GAUGGAGAUCAGUAGGUCCCUGGACGUAGCACACCUCCCAGUGUCAUUUUUGUGAUUUGCAGCUAGUAGUCUGGGUCCAGUUGCAUAGUCACAAAAAUGAUCAUUGGUAGGUGUGAGUGCAGCAGGAGUGAGGCUUACCGGAUCCUCCAUC